rnacentral:rRNA from 1 species
GAUGAACGCUGGCGGCGUGCCUAAUACAUGCAAGUCGAGCGAACAGACGAGGAGCUUGCUCCUCUGACGUUAGCGGCGGACGGGUGAGUAACACGUGGAUAACCUACCUAUAAGACUGGGAUAACUUCGGGAAACCGGAGCUAAUACCGGAUAAUAUAUUGAACCGCAUGGUUCAAUAGUGAAAGACGGUUUUGCUGUCACUUAUAGAUGGAUCCGCGCCGCAUUAGCUAGUUGGUAAGGUAACGGCUUACCAAGGCGACGAUGCGUAGCCGACCUGAGAGGGUGAUCGGCCACACGGGAGCGUAGACACGGUCCAGACUCCUACGGGAGGCAGCAGUAGGGAAUCUUCCGCAAUGGGCGAAAGCCUGACGGAGCAACGCCGCGUGAGUGAUGAAGGUCUUCGGAUCGUAAAACUCUGUUAUUAGGGAAGAACAAAUGUGUAAGUAACUAUGCACGGCUUGACGGUACCUAAUCAGAAAGCCACGGCUAACUACGUG